GGUUGUAUAGUGUAGCGGUCAUCACAUCGGAUUCUGAUUGAAUAUUCACUUCUUUAUCACCAUUCCGGUAACCCCGGUUCGAUUCCGGGUACGACCU